AUUAAACGCUGGCGGCAUGCCUUACACAUGCAAGUCGAACGGCAGCACGGGGGCAACCCUGGUGGCGAGUGGCGGACGGGUGAGUAAAGCAUCGGAACGUAUCCUGGAGUGGGGGAUAACGUAGCGAAAGUUACGCUAAUACCGCAUAUUCUGUGAGCAGGAAAGCAGGGGAUCGCAAGACCUUGCGCUCUGGGAGCGGCCGAUGUCGGAUUAGCUAGUUGGUGGGGUAAAGGCCUACCAAGGCGACGAUCCGUAGCGGGUCUGAGAGGAUGAUCCGCCACACUGGGACUGAGACACGGCCCAGACUCCUACGGGAGGCAGCAGUGGGGAAUUUUGGACAAUGGGCGCAAGCCUGAUCCAGCCAUGCCGCGUGAGUGAAGAAGG
rnacentral:rRNA from 1 species